UUGAGAACUAAAACCUGCAUCCCUGCUUCAGCACAGGGGUUGGGAGGGGCAGGUGAGUGGUUUUUCUUUGUGUUUCAGGAGCUCCCACAGAUACCCCAGGCUGGCACCAGCUCCCCAGGUGGGUGGAGAGCGCAGGCUUUGUCUUAGGCAGAGGGGGGACAAUGAGUAGAGUUAACCACAAUAGCCAAGCACUGAGGGCCCUCCCUUCAAAAGCUCUGCUCUCUGUUCUGCUGGUGUGGAGGAAAUUUGGACUUUGACAGGAGAAUGUCUACCCUUUUUCCUCCUUUGUCGGCAAAGUAAUGAACUUCUCUUUCUUUCUGUCAAACCACUGUUCUCAUUCUUCUGUCAGGGCCUCGAGGUCAAGUGCUGAGCUUUCGGUAACACCAUGAGCCUGUGCAGCAUGUUACUGUCCUGAACACUACAGGCAAUUGGAGCACAGUGAACGGUAAGCUGGGCGGCCCUGGGAGACAGGGCUGGUGUUCGCCCUGGGGCAUCUCUGAAGGAGCAGCACUUCCGCUUUGGUGGCGCCCCUUGCUGGGACCUUCUGCCUCCUUUCUGGCCCAGACCGCAGGCCUCAGAUCUGUUGGCUUCUGGGGAAGGAGCUCCGUCCUCCUCACGUGUCAUGGAGAGCCCAGGCCUGUCGGGGGCUCAGUAGAUGCUCAGUGACCGUCUGCGCGGCUGCCCCGAGUGUGCUGGGCCGUCCACCCUGGGGAGAGGGCCAGGGUCGCUCCGGCUGCUUCUCACCCUCCAGCUGAAGAAGGAUCUUCUGGCUCAGGGACUCUGUGGCUUCCCAGACCCAGCCUGGUCCCCGUGGCUCCCCUGGCAGGCUGGGCCCUGGGAGGCCUGUCCUGGGAGCGAGGCCCCGGCUUGGCGCCGGGCACUGAAGAGCAGCCACGCUGUGCGAGGCCUGGGCUGGUCCCUGUUCGGCCGGUGCUAGUGGGGCGUGGGGAGGACGGGCAGAGGCGCCGCCCUGCCACUCUCGGUGCUUUUCUCUGCGUUUCCGUUUGCACGCAGUGCUGUGACUCAUGGCAGCCCUGACGCGUCUCAGAUUUAAACAUAUUUGUUUUUAUUCAUUUAAGCCUUUUGUUUUCUGUUAAAGGAAGGUAUUUCCCCUAUUUUCCUCUUCUCCAAGCCUAAGAGCAGCAGAGAGAAUCUUUAGCUGAGUCCUGCUCUCCCUUUGGGUGUGUGUCACGCCCCCUCCCCAGAUACCCCCGUCCCCAGACUGGCAGAAUCUUCACCCUUAGAGCCCCCACCCAGGGAACACACGCUUUCCCUAGGUCGCCAAACCCUCCUAGCAGCCGGAUCAGAGGCUGAGUCCGGCUACGGGAAGGAGCUGCCUCCUGUGGGUGUUCCCUGGCACUGCUGGAGCCGCAGGACACUGGGGGCGUCCCUGGCCCCUGGUUAGAGGAGACCUGACAUGAGAUGUAGUCCUCCUGCUCGGGCUGGUUUGUCGCAGUCACUGUCCUCGUGCCCUCAGCGUCUUAGGCUGCGGCGCCCCAGUGCGCAGGCGCAUUCGAGUCCCCUCUGUGUAACGCUGUCUGUUCCAUGAGCAGGUUUUGACUGCGGUUGGACACACUCCCUGCGGGCCACCUUGUGCACAGAGUACACAGGAGUCCCUUCGGCAAGGACAUCCCGCUUGUUCCCCUCGGCUCUCGGCAGGUGGAGAGCAGCAGAGUGUCUCGGCCCAGGAGGCAUCCGCUCUGUUCCCUGGGCCUUCGUCUUCCUUGUCCAGGCCCAGAAAGGCGCUGGGCGUGGGGCCGGCUGCGCAGCCCUCUAGGCCUGAGCGAGCCUGCGUGUGAACAAAGUCAGGCAGGGCCUGGGUGCCGCGUAGCUUGUCCACGCUGCUGUGUGCAGAUGCGGAGAAGCCACACGCAGCCACGCGCCCCGGGUGCAGCCGCAGGACAUCUGGAGACACUGAGGACAGGGCUGGAUGUGACCAAGGAUCUGGGGCCAUGUGGGCCAGGGAUGUGGGAAAUGAAGACCACCUGCGUCUCGAAAGGGAGAAACGGCAGAGCAGAUCCCGGUUUCCUCCAGGGGACCCUCUCCUUAGGAAAGGAGUUCCUGCCUUCGGGGUCAGUGUCUAGUCCUGUCCCUGCCUUGGAGACGAUUUCAUAGGCCCUUUAUGGAGAACAUGAGGUCACAUCCCAGAGUUUCCUGAUGGGACCACAGUGAGCAACACGUGGAAGAGUUGUGUCGCCCCAACCCCUGGAAAUGGGUUUCAACAUGACAAAGCGACUCUUGGCCCCACGGACAGCCGCCGUCCUCUGUGCUCUGCUCCCUGUGCCUGUGCCAGCUUCAGAGAAGAAGAAUGAAGCUGAGGGGAGGCGCCAGAGGGAAGGAGGCAGGAGAAGCAGGCUGCCUGCCCCUUCUACAACCAUGAGCACAGGGACAAGAGCCUGGCAGAGGGGAAGUCCCUGGGCAGCUGGUGGCCCUUGGGAAGAGGCCUGGGCCUGUCCCUGUUCCGGUGGCUGGGUUGCCAUUCCGGCAGCCUGGGUGAGAACUCUGGAGGUUUGGGGAGAAGCCCUUGGUUCUGACUGAGACCUAGCCCAUGGGGGAUUCUUCCUGACGCUAUG